AACAUACACUCCCAGGUCUUUCUCUGCCUCUGUGGUGGAUAGUGGAGUGUUUCCCAUGUGGUAUUGGUGUGCUGGAUAUCCCUUCACUGGUAGCCUGGUAACAUACACUCCCAGGUCUUUCUCUGCCUCUGUGGUGGAUAGUGGAGUGUUUCCCAUGUGGUAUUGGUGUGCUGGAUAUCCCCUCCCAAGGUUCAGAACUUUACAUUUUUCCUCAUUGCAUUGUAGCAGCCACUUUUUGUUCCACUCCUAUAUCUUUUUGAUGUCUUCUUGUAGGAAAUCCACAGUCAAGGGGUUAAAAAUAGGCCUUUCUGACAAACUGUUGCAAUUUUUAUAACACUCUUACUUCCCUUAUAAGAUUAUAUUACGUUGUUUGUCUGUCCACAACACAAGUCCUAUAGCAAUACUUCCUCUCCACAACACAAGUCCUACAGCAAUACUUCCUCUCCACAACACAAGUCCUACAGCAAUACUUCCUCUCCACAACACAAGUCCUACAGCAAUACUUCCUCUCCACAACACAAGUCCUACAGCAAUACUUCCUCUCCACAACACAAGUCCUACAGCAAUACUUCCUCUCCACAACACAAGUCCUACAGCAAUACUUCCUCUCCACAACACAAGUCCUACAGCAAUACUUCCUCUAUACAACACAAGUCCUACAGCAAUACUUCCUCCCCACAACACAAGUCCUAUAGCAAUAUUCCUCUCCACAACACAAGUCCUACAGCAAUACUUCUUCUCCACAACACAAGUCCUACAACAAUACAAGGAUCGUAAUGUUACGUCUACGUAAAGACGAGAAAUAAGCAAACAGUGAGUGCUGGGCUGACGUAACCUUGCCUCGACGUACAGAGAUCAAAGUGUGAAUUGAAGUUACUUAUACAAACAUCUCGUAAGUAAGGUUGACAAAUUAUAUUCCAUCAGUUUAAAUGACAUAAUCUUCCCUAUACAUACAGAUCAAGGUAACAUAUGAAAUGAAAUGAGGUUACUUAUACAAACAUCUCGUAGGUAAGGUUGGCGUAACUUAUAUUUUGCUAGUUUAAAUGACAUAAUCUUCUCUAUACGUACAGGUCAAAGUAACAUACGACAUACGAGUUAAUUGAGGUUACUCAUACAAACAUCUCAAAGGUAAGGUUGGUGUACCUUAUAUUUUGCUAGUUUAAAGGAUGUAAUCUUCACUAUACAUAGAGAUCACAGUAACAUACAACAUAUGAAAUGAAUUGAGGUUACUUAUACAAACAUCUCAAAGGUAAGGUUGGUGAACCUUAUAUUUUGCUAGUUUAAAGGAUGUAAUCUUCACUAUACAUAGAGAUCACAGUAACAUACAACAUAUGAAAUGAAUUGAGGUUACUUAUACAAACAUACCAGUGAAUUGAGGUUACUUAUACAAACAUACCAGUGAAUUGAGGUUACUUAUACAAACAUACCAGUGAAUUGAGGUUACUUAUACAAACAUACCAGUGAAUUGAGGUUACUUAUACAAACAUACCAGUGAAUUGAGGUUACUUAUACAAACAUACCAGUGAAUUGAGGUUACUUAUACAAACAUGCCAGUGAAUUGAGGUUACUUAUACAAACAUACCAGUGAAUUGAGGUUACUUAUACAAACAUACCAGUGAAUUGAGGUUACUUAUACAAACAUACCAGUGAAUUGAGGUUACUUAAACAAACAUACCAGUGAAUUGAGGUUACUUAUACAAACAUACCAGUGAAUUGAGGUUACUUAUACAAACAUACCAGUGAAUUGAGGUUACUUAUACAAACAUACCAGUGAAUUGAGGUUACUUAUACAAACAUACCAGUGAAUUGAGGUUACUUAAACAAACAUACCAGUGAAUUGAGGUUACUUAUACAAACAUACCAGUGAAUUGAGGUUACUUAUACAAACAUGCCAGUGAAUUGAGGUUACUCAUACAAACAUCUCAAAGGUAAGGUUGGUGUACCUUAUAUUUUGCUAGUUUAAAGGAUGUAAUCUUCACUAUACAUAGAGAUCACAGUAACAUACAACAUAUGAAAUGAAUUGAGGUUACUUAUACAAACAUACCAGUGAAUUGAGGUUACUUAUACAAACAUACCAGUGAAUUGAGGUUACUUAUACAAACAUACCAGUGAAUUGAGGUUACUUAUACAAACAUACCAGUGAAUUGAGGUUACUUAUACAAACAUACCAGUGAAUUGAGGUUACUUAUACAAACAUACCAGUGAAUUGAGGUUACUUAUACAAACAUACCAGUGAAUUGAGGUUACUUAUACAAACA